GUGGGGAAUUUUGGACAAUGGGCGAAAGCCUGAUCCAGCAAUGCCGCGUGCAGGAUGAAGGCCCUCGGGUUGUAAACUGCUUUUGUACGGAACGAAAAGCCUGGGGCUAAUAUCCCCGGGUCAUGACGGUACCGUAAGAAUAAGCACCGGCUAACUACGUGCCAGCAGCCGCGGUAAUACGUAGGGUGCAAGCGUUAAUCGGAAUGACUGGGCGUAAAGCGUGCGCAGGCGGUUUUGUAAGACAGUGGUGAAAUCCCCGGGCUCAACCUAGGAAAUGCCAUUGUGACUGCAAGGCUAGAGUGCGGCAGAGUGGGAUGGAAUUCCGCGUGUAGCAGUGAAAUGCGUAGAUAUGCGGAGGAACACCGAUGGCGAAGGCAAUCCCCUGGGCCUGCACUGACGCUCAUGCACGAAAGCGUGGGGAGCAAACAGGAUUAGAAACCCGGGUAGUCC
rnacentral:rRNA from 1 species